GGCUGAGGAGCCCACGUCCUGGGAGGGUCCCCACCAUGGCCUGGAUGGUGUUUCUGCUCGGGCUCCUCAUUUACGGCUCAGGGGUAGAUGCUCAGACUGUGGUCCAGGAGCCAGCACUGUCAGUGUCUGCAGGAGGGACGGUCACCCUCACCUGUGGCCUCAGCUCUGGGUCAGUCACUACCAGUAACUACCCCGGCUGGUUCCAGCAGACCCCAGGACAGGCUCCCAGAACUUUUAUCUACUAUACAAACAGCCGCCUCUCUGGGAUCCCUGAUCGCUUCUCUGGCUCCAUCUCUGGGAACAAAGCCGCCCUCACCAUCACGGGGGUCCAGCCUGAGGACGAGGCUGUCUAUUACUCUGCUCUAUACACCGGUAGUUACAAUAAUACCACAGGCUGGCAGAUGAAAUCCAGCAACUGCACCCUGGCAGGGGUCUCAGCUUCACUGUACGGGGACCUGGUCUCCCAGGCCCUCCUGGCUGAAGCGAGCAGGGCCCCAUGA